rnacentral:rRNA from 1 species
AUUGAACGCUGGCGGCAGGCCUAACACAUGCAAGUCGAACGAGUGGCGGACGGGUGAGUAAUGUCUGGGAAACUGCAUGAUGGAGGGGGAUAACUAGGGGAAAAGGUAGCUAAUACAGCAUAACAACCGAUGUGCGAAGAUGGGAUUAGCUUGUUGGGGGGGUAAAGGCUCACCAAGGCGACGAUCCCUAGCUGGUCUGAGAGGAUGACCAGCCACACUGGAACUGAGACACGGUCCAGACUCCUACGGGAGGCAGCAGUGGGGAAUAUUGCACAAUGGGCUCAAGCCUGAUGCAGCCAUGCCGCGUGUAUGAAGAAGGCCUUCGGGUUGUAAAGUACUUUCAGCGGGGAGGCGUUACCCGCAGAAGAAGCACCGGCUAACUCCGUGCCAGCAGCCGCGGUAAUAC